rfam:Mesorhizobium australicum strain B5P genome assembly, contig: Ga0048943_12
UGUCAAGAGUCUUGGCGUCGUUUUGGCGAGCGGAUUUCUUUUGCCUGAUUGAAGGUGAAGGAAAUG